UUUUGAGCUUAGAACUGGAAAGUAGAGGUCGCCACGAGUUCGCAGCAUUUUUCGGUAAAUUUUUCGAGUUCCCGAGCUAUUUUUAAGGAAAUUUUGAAGUUUUGUUGGAAAUUAAAUUAUCUGGCGACGUGGCGUGUCCUUAUUGGUUGAUAGGCUUAACUUGGAGACCAAGUAGCAGCUGCCAAACGUGUCUUGCAUGUGCAAGAUCAGUUUGACACAUGUCAAGUGGUGGCACUAUGUUUGUUAUAUGCUUGACAAAUGGCAUAAGCAUGAUGAUGGAUGGUUUUGGUUUGGACAAGUGGCCUAUUUCUAUUGGUGUUCUUUCCCUAUAAAUAGAACCCAACCAGAUCAUUAUUUCCCCACAAUUUUCGGAGCUUUCUCUCUCCUACAUUUCUCUCUUCCAUUUUCUCUCUCUAGGAUUUGUUUUUGGCAUAACUUUUGAUCCGUAAGUCCGAUUUAGGAUCCGUUUUCGCCUACGGAUUCGUCUUGACGAGCUCUUUCUAUUGGUGGAAAGAAAAUUCAGAUUUGGUGAAACUAUUUUUUGACGACCUAGGAGGCUUGAUUUUAUUUUGUAUCAUCCACGAUUGUCGAAAAUAAGCUUUUAAUCGACCAAGCCAACACUCAUUGUGACCUAAACUCAACCAAAAGGAUUGCCGGACUUUCAGACCUGGGACUAAAGAAAACCCUACACCAUCACCACCAUAUUGUCGACACCAUCCAUCCACCACUGCUCCAAAACACCAUCGCCUCCGACCCGAUCCCAGAUAGGAAGGACCCACUAGAAGGCCAAGGAUGAUUGUCUAGCUAGACUGUUUCGCCACCGCUGCUGACCCAACUCCAGAACAGGAACGAUCUCCGAGACCGCGACAGAGAAGAUCGUCUCUGCCACACCUUUAGUAGUGUCUUAUUACCAACAAUAAAAUAAAACCAGACCCGAAAACACUAGUAACAACCAAGCCCGCCACCAUGGCAAACCUGAUCCACCAUCUCACCACCACCAGCGGCGCCCCAUCCACCACGAUCUCCACCUACCAACCAAUCAAACAAAAAGCAGCCCAAUACCUUAAUCCAGGCCCAAGACCAAGCCCAGACCCCAUACGGACUGCUCCAGCCCAUUAGCCAAAACCUGCUCUACCCGUUCGUCCCUACCAUCGUUCCAUCACGACCGCAGCACCUCCACCGGCGUACCACCACACCCGACAUAAGCGAGGAGGAGUUUCUGUCAGUGCCCACCCCCGCCAUCAGACCCCGACUACCAUCAACCAGGCAUCGCCGGCCAAUCCCUGAUAGCAUACAAGCCCCACCCCCUCCACCACCUCGCACCAGCCUCAUCACGGCCGCCUCCAACGACAUUUUUGAAACUUAAAGCAUCAAAGUUUAUAGUGGGGCAAAGAUAAUGUACUGUUUGGACAAUUUGUAAUGUUUUAGAUAUUGUCAAAAAAUACUCAAUAAGAAAAAACGCCCAUACGAUACUUGACUUUUUGUUCCUUGUAAACUUCGGUACCUCAAGUUUAAAAAAUGUCAGAACAGUAUUUGAGGCUUCGAUUCCGACUGAAUUUUGGUACCCAAAGCCGUUAGCUUCGUUACGACAGCUGCCACCCGAAAUUGUGUGUUGGGGUUAUAGAAGAAUUGUGUUUUCAGAACGCCAAAAGUCAAAGCAGUAGUUGGUCUCUCAUGGGAACCAAAGAUUCUGAAUUUUUCAUCGGCAAAAAAAAAAAAAAAACAGACUUGGGGUUGAUGCAAAACCUCAAGAUACGCACCCUGAAACCAAUCACCCUUGGAAACCCGCCACCCAGCAGGUAGACUUGGAGUUCUCUAUCUUUUACUGCCAGUACAAGAACCAUAUCAGAGAUAGACAUGGUCAAAUUCCUUACUCUAAAUAUUCAAGAAAUCAACCAAAACCCAAAAUAAGAACAAGAGCACCCAUAACAAAUUUCCCACUUGAUUUAAUUGAUGCAACCACCGAUGACGGCGGAGAACAUGACCCAUGUCUGUUGAACCCAUAUCAAAUGAAAAAGGUUCCUUUAAAUUGUUGAAGGUAGAUGUGUUAGCGUAGACUUUUUUGAAGAUUGGGUUUGGAGUGGAGAAGAAGGUGACAGAAGAAGAUGGGAUGGACCGGAAUCGUGCUCACAAAAUCUUUGCUUCUCUCUCCCUCGAUAGUUUCUGAGUAAAUGGCACUCACAAAAGCAUACAUAUCAACAGUGCAAUGCUUUGAAUCUUCCGAAUCGUGCCCGUCCUGCAUAGAAAACCAAUUCACAGCAAAGCAAAUUACACACGUUUGAACGGUUUGCAACAGUUACAGAGUAACAGAAAGUAUUUGUGUACAAUUGAAAUCCAAAUUUGUUGAAAUGUGGAGCUAGAGCAAAUCUAAAAGACUUAAUCUAAAAUUCUAAAUGGGGAACCUUUUAAUUGAAAUCUGAAUUGGAAUUGAGGAACCCUAAAUAAUUGGACGAAAUUAGAAAAUAAAAAACAAAGCGAAAAGAAAAUUGGGGAUUGCCAUUAUUGUGGCGGUGGUGGUUCGGCAGUGGAGGCUUGGACUUGAGACUGGCUGGGAUUGAAGGCGAGGCGUGGAUGAGUUUGAGGAGGAAGAAGAUGAGAAGAUGGGCAGCUCCAAUUUCCUUUUCGGUUCAUUGUACUUGACUGCUUCUUCCUCUUAUCAUCUUCUAUGUCUGGUAGUGAUGGGGGAGGAGGAGGAGAGAGCUUGUUGGUUGUGUUAAUCGGUGGAGUAGGGACAUAGGUGGAAUUAGUGAGGAUUAAGACAUAAAAUGACGAAAAUUCACUAUAAAAAUUGUCAACCGGCAACUUCGGUAGCGCAGCUAACGGCUUUAGGUACUAAUAUUCGGCUGGAAUCAAAACCUCAGAUAUCUUUUUGAUAUUUUUAAAAUAUAAUGUACCAAAAUUUAUAAAGAGUAAAAAAUCAAGCUCCGUAUAGACAAUUUUCCCUAUUCAGUAAAAUAAACUAUCUGUGGAGAUUAGAUAUGACAUUCAGAUUUUGGAGACCGUAGCAUUAGAAGCUCGUGA